CAGAAAUGGUCUACCAGUAUUUGACACGAGAAGGCCUAGGUACAGUAGGACUAGCUUUCUUGCAUGUUUGUCAGAGGGAUGACCCUAGUAAAAAGGUCUGACAUUCCAUACCUGAUAAUGAAAGAAAACACCAGAAACUAUUUACUGAGGUGAUUUUAAAUAAACUAAAUGGGAUUUCAUAUAUGAACAUAAUUAGUCCCUGAUUCAUAAAAAUUGUACAGUAUAUUUAAAGUACAA
rnacentral:lncRNA from 1 species